AGUUAUCGUCUAUUUGAUAGUACCUUACUACUUGGAUAACCGUGGUAAUUCUAGAGCUAAUACAUGCUGAAAACCCCGACUUCGGAAGGGAUGUAUUUAUUAGAUUAAAAACCAAUGCCCUCCGGGGCUCCCUGGUGAUUCAUGAUAACUUCUCGAAUCGCACGGCCUUGCGCCGGCGAUGGUUCAUUCAAAUUUCUGCCCUAUCAACUUUCGACGGCUGGGUCUUGGCCAGCCAUGGUGACAACGGGUAACGGAGGGUUAGGGCUCGACCCCGGAGAAGGAGCCUGAGAAACGGCUACUACAUCUAAGGAAGGCAGCAGGCGCGCAAAUUACCCAAUCCCGACGCGGGGAGGUAGUGACAAUAAAUACUGAUACAGGGCUCUUUAGGGUCGUGUAAUUGGAAUGAGUACAGUUUAAUUCCCUUAACGAGGAACAAUUGGAGGGCAAGUCUGGUGCCAGCAGCCGCGGUAAUUCCAGCUCCAAUAGCGUAUAUUAAAGUUGUUGCAGUUAAAAAGCUCGUAGUUGAACCUUGGGCCUGGCUGGCCGGUCCGCCUCACCGCGUGCACUGGUCCGGCCGGGCCUUUCCCUCUGGGGAGCCGCAUGCCCUUCACUGGGCGUGCCGGGGAACCAGGACGUUUACUUUGAAAAAAUUAGAGUGUUCAAAGCAGGCUUAUGCUCGGAUACAUUAGCAUGGAAUAAUGGAAUAGGACGUGCGGUUCUAUUUUGUUGGUUUCUAGGACCGCCGUAAUGAUUAAUAGGGACAGUCGGGGGCAUCAGUAUUCAAUUGUCAGAGGUGAAAUUCUUGGAUUUAUUGAAGACUAACUACUGCGAAAGCAUUUGCCAAGGAUGUUUUCAUUAAUCAGGAACGAAAGUUAGGGGAUCGAAGACGAUCAGAUACCGUCGUAGUCUUAACCAUAAACUAUGCCGACUAGGGAUCGGACGCUGUUGUCUUUUGACGCGUUCGGCACCUUA
rnacentral:rRNA from 1 species